UGUCGCUGGUGUAGUUGAAGAGAAAUAUCAAAUUUUGUUUACUUUUAUGGCCCACGGGAAUUUAGUUAAAAUUUGUAAUUUUGAUAUAAUUUGCUCUAAAUCAGAAAUUAAAAGCCGCAAUCUCGGUCUAUUUCAUUAUAAUAUUAAGAAAGAGUGUUGUGCUAAUAAAUACGUGGUCAAGAUGAGUGAGUUGCGAAGAUAUUUGUUUCGUAUCUCAGUGAACUCUCAGCGAGCUUUAAGGAACCGUUUGCGAAGCAAAAGAAAAUUGUUGCGGGAAUCCAUGGAUCCCUUCUGUAUUUCAGAGGAACGGUUCACAGAAAUUAUUCGACUUCCAAAAGAAAUAUGUAGAAAUGUUUUUAAUUAAAUCCGCCCCUUUACGUUGCAAAGGACAUCAAGUUGUGGAUUGUCGAAAGUUUUAAGGUUCCUUGUAGCAUUGCGAUUUUUCGCUCAAUUAUGAAGCUAUCAACGUUCGGUGGGACAAGACUUCUUACUUAAUGUAUCCCAAAGCAGCGUCAGUAGAUGCAUUAGAGAAAUUGCCAGUAUCAUGGACAAAUACUUGUUAACUAGAUACAUUAAGUUUCCAUCAACAGUUGAAGAAAAACAGGCUAUUUUAUCAAGAGUUCAGAUUCCCUGGGAUCAUAGGAGACAUUAAGGGAUCGCAUAUUAAAUUAAAGACUCCAUCCAAAGACAUUGA